CAGGUACGUCUUUUGAUCCUCGGGCUCUUCGAAACUUUGUCAGCACAAGGACAGACGCUCAUCCACAGGGGCAGCCCCCGAGGAAGAAAGGCAAGAAGAGGCCUCGAGGGACUCCUGAGGGUGUGAGGGGGCCUGGCGAAACAUCUCGAGCACAUCCUCAAGUCUCGACCCCUCUGCAACCGAACCUUAGAUCUCCCACUCCUCGGGUCGUCACUCCUCGGCCUCCUUCUGAAGUGGUUGACCUUGAGGACGACCCGUCUCUUACCAGGGACUUUGAGACUUGCCACCUCGCUCCUGAGCUCGUAAAUAAAUACAAGGAGGAGAUCAAGCUCGAGGAUGGGAUGAAGGUCCUCGAGGGUCUUACAGUGAAGGUAAUCUUCAGGCUUUCGACUUUAACCUCAAGCUUUUUUUUUUGUCGAGAUUAAUACUUGUCAUUUUAUUCAUUUUUUCCAGAUGUUGAGUAUAGCUCGAGGACUUUCUCUGCAAGGGCUCGAGGAGGCCAAGAGGGCAGCUGGGGUCGAGACGUCCAUGGCCUCUAAGGAC
rnacentral:lncRNA from 1 species